GAAAACGCGUGAUUUUCGGUUAAAUGGGGGAUUUGCGAAGAGAAAACGCGUGAUUUUCGACGUUAAAUGGGGGAUUUGCGAAGAGAAAACGCGUGAUUUUCGGGUUAAAUGGGGGAUUUCGGAAGAGAAAACGCGUGAUUUUCGGGUUAAAUGGGGGAUUUGCGAAGAGAAAACGCGUGAUUUUUGGGUUAAAUGGGGGAUUUGCGAAGAGAAAACGCGUGAUUUUCGCUUAAAUGGGGGAUUCUCGAAGAGAAAACGUGUGAUUUUCGAUUAAAUGGGGGAUUUGCGAAGAGAAAACGCGUGAUUUUUGAGUUAAAUGGUGAAUUUGCGAAGAGAAAACGCGUGAUUUUUGGGUUAAAUCAAGGAUUCUCUAACCAAAAACGCCUGAUUUUCGGGUUAAAUGGAGGAUUCUCAAAGAGAAAACGCGUGAUUUUCGGGUUAAAUGGGGGAUUCUCGAAGAGAAAACGCGUGAUUUUCGCUUAAAUAGGGGAAUUCCGAAGAGAAAACGCGUGAUUUCCAGGUCAAAUGGGAAUUCUCAAAGAGAAAAUGCGUAAUUUUACUUAAAUGGGGGAUUUGCAGAGAGGAAACGCGUGAUUUUCGGGUGAAAUGGGGGAUUUCCAAAGAGAAAACGCAUGAUAUUCGCUUAAAUGGGGGAUAUGCAAAGAGAAAAAUCAUGAUUUUCGGGUUAAAUGGGGGAUUUCCGAAAAGAAAACGCGUGAUUUUCGCUUAAAUAGAAGAUUCUCAAAGAGAAAAUGCGUGAUUUUCAGGGUUAAAUGGGGGAUUUCCAAAGAGAGAACAGGUGCUUUUCUCUUACAUGGGGGAUUUGCGAAAAGAAAACGCGUGAUUUUCAGGUGAAAUGGGGGAUUUGCAAAGAUAAAACACAUGAUAUUCACAUUAAAUUGGGGAUUUCCAAAGAGAAAAU
ensembl:lncRNA